UUAAACGGCCGCGGUACCCUAACCGUGCAAAGGUAGCAUAAUCAUUUGUCUACUAAUUAUAGACCUGUAUGAAAGGCAAAAUGAGGGUCAAACUGUCUCUUAUAAUAAAUCAAUUAAACUGAUCUACUAGUAAAAAAGCUAGAAUAACAACAUAAGACCAGAAGACCCUGUGAAGCUUAAACUAAACUAUUAAACCACAUAAUAACUACUUUCGGUUGGGGCGACCUUGGAAAAAAAAAGAACUUCCAAGAUCCAGUAUAGCUGAAAAUUGAACCAAGUUACUCCAGGGAUAACAGCGCAAUCUUCUUCAAGAGUCCAUAUCAAAAAGAAGGUUUACGACCUCGAUGUUGGAUCAGGACAUCCUAAUGGUGCAGCCGCUAUUAAGGGUUCGUUUGUUCAACGAUUAAUAGUCCUACGUGAUCUGA
rnacentral:rRNA from 1 species